GGUUAGCCCGGGGAGGGCCACAUCCCUGCCGCCCCAGUCACCGCCCUUCUUGAGCCGGGAAUCCCGCCCACGCCGCGCCACGCUCCGCCCCCGGGGCACCCUGGCGUAAGGGUGAUUGCCACAUCUCGGAUUCGCCGCGGGGCAACUACCUGGGAAAACCGCAGACUGGGCAAUGAAAGACUACAUCCGGCAACCGGAUGCUGGGUUCUGUGACUCCAGGAAAAGGGGCUCCUGGGCCCAGGGAGGGAUACACUCAAGACUGCAGACAGACAUACUAGGCGAUCUCGACAGUCGCUCCGUGACAGCCCACCAACCCCCAACCCUCUACCUCGCAGCCACCCUAAAGGCGACUUCAAGAAGAUGGAAGGAUCUCACGGAUCUCAUUCCUAAUGGUCCGCCGAAGUCUCACACAGUAGACAGACGGAGUUGAGAUGCUGGAGGAUGCAGUCACCUCCUAAACUUACGACCCACCACCAGACUUCAUCCCAGCCGGGACGUCCUCCCCCACCCGAGUCCUCCCCAUUUCUUCUCCUACUUUGCCGCAGUUCCAGGUGUCCUGCUUCCACCAGUCCCACAAAGCUCAAUAAAUACCAAGAGACCUGCAUUUACAGCAGGGGGAACAUCUCACACCCUUGCAUAAGUUA
rnacentral:lncRNA from 1 species